rnacentral:rRNA from 1 species
AGAGUUUGAUCAUGGCUCAGGACGAACGUUGGCGGUGCGCUUAAUGCAUGCAAGUCGAGGGAGAACCAGUUGAUUCGUAAGAAUCGGCUGGGGAAACCGGCGAACGGGUGCGUAACACGUGAGGAACCUGCCCCGAAGACCGGGAUAGCCCGAGGAAACUCGGAUUAAUACCGGAUACCCUCCGUUGACCACAUGGUCGACUGAGGAAACGGUCCGCCGCUUCGGGAUGGCCUCGCGGCCUAUCAGCUUGUUGGUGAGGUAACGGCUCACCAAGGCAGAGGCGGGUAGCUGGUCUGAGAGGACGAUCAGCCACACUGGGACUGAGACACGGCCCAGACUCCUACGGGAGGCAGCAGCAGGGAAUAUUGCACAAUGGGCGAAAGCCUGAUGCAGCGACACCGCGUGCGGGAUGAAGGCCUUCGGGUUGUAAACCGCUUUCAGGAGGGACGAAAAUGACGGUACCUCCAGAAGAAGGCCCGGCCAACUACGUGCCAGCAGCCGCGGUAAUACGUAGGGGCCAAACGUUGUCCGGAUUUAUUGGGCGUAAAGGGCUCGUAGGCGGUUCAAAAAGUCGGUCGUGAAAGCCCGGGGCUCAACCCCGGGACGCCGGUCGAAACUGUUGUGACUAGGGUCCGGUAGAGGUGAGUGGAAUUCUCGGUGUAGCGGUGGAAUGCGCAGAUAUCGAGAGGAACACCAGUAGCGAAGGCGGCUCACUGGGCCGGUACCGACGCUGAGGAGCGAAAGCAUGGGGAGCAAACAGGAUUAGAUACCCUGGUAGUCCAUGCCGUAAACGAUGAACACUAGGUGUGGCGGACUUAUUGACGUCUGCCGUGCCGAAGCUAACGCAUUAAGUGUUCCGCCUGGGGAGUACGGCCGCAAGGCUAAAACUCAAAGGAAUUGACGGGGCCCCGCACAAGCGGCGGAGCAUGCGGCUUAAUUCGAUGCAACCCGAAGAACCUUACCUGGACUUGACAUCAUGGGUCUACCUGUAGAAAUACGGGGUGCUUAUGCGCCCAUGACAGGUGGUGCAUGGCUGUCGUC